GAAACACGGAUCAAGGAGUCUAACUCGUACGCGAGUCCUUCGAGCGACUUUGCGAAGCUCUCGAGGGCUCAAUGAAAGUGAAGAACGACGCCGGCGCCUAUGAGCGCGCGACGUUGGCGGAUCCGACGAGUCCGGCCGCCCUCCUCUUGGGGUAGAGUCGCGACGAUGUCGGCGCACGCCGGGGGCCCUUUCGUAUACGGUUCUAAAUGCUUCGUCGAAAGUCGACUGCUCGUCGCUCCUUUCUUUGGCGAACGUGCGGAACGGGCUCCGAGAGCGGGUGGGUUAGUACCCGAAAGAUGGUGAUCUAUGCUUGUUAAGGACGAAGCCGGGGGAAACGCCGGUGGAGGUUCGUAGCGAUUCUGACGUGCAAAUCGAUCGUCGGAGCUGAGUA
rnacentral:rRNA from 1 species